AUUGAACGCUGGCGGCAUGCCUUACACAUGCAAGUCGAACGCGAAAGGGGGCAACCCUGAGUAGAGUGGCGAACGGGUGAGUAAUGCAUCGGAACGUGUCCUGUAGCGGGGGACAACCCCGAGAAAUCGGGGCUAAUACCGCAUACGUCCUACGGGAGAAAGUGGGGACCGCAAGGCCUCACACUAUAGGGGCGGCCGAUGCCGGAUUAGCUAGUUGGUGAGGUAAGAGCUCACCAAGGCGACGAUCCGUAGCUGGUCUGAGAGGAUGAUCAGCCACACUGGGACUGAGACACGGCCCAGACUCCUACGGGAGGCAGCAGUGGGGAAUUUUGGACAAUGGGCGCAAGCCUGAUCCAGCCAUGCCGCGUGAGUGAAGAAGGCCUUCGGGUUGUAAAGCUCUUUCGGCCGGGACGAAAUCGCUUCCGCUAAUAUCGGGAGUGGAUGACGGUACCGGAAUAAGAAGCACCGGCUAACUACGUGCCAGCCGCCGCGGUAA
rnacentral:rRNA from 1 species